rnacentral:snoRNA from 1 species
ACUCAUGGUUUGGACACUUCCUCAUCAAUUCUUUAAAUCUGUUUCAUACCUCAUGAUAGCUCUCUCCAUCUCUCUGUUGGAAGGUUUGAAUUUUCAGUCUGAUUUU